GACGAACGCUGGCGGCGUGCCUAAUACAUGCAAGUCGAGCGCGGGAAGCAGACUGAAGCCUUCGGGCGGACGUCUGUGGAACGAGCGGCGGAUGGGUGAGUAACACGUGGGCAACCUGCCUGUAAGCUCGGGAUAACUAGCGGAAACGCUAGCUAAUACCGAAUAACGCUGCGCACCGCAUGGCGCGCAGAUGAAAGGCGGCGCAAGCUGCCACUUACAGAUGGGCCCGCGGCGCAUUAGCUAGUUGGUGGGGUAACGGCCUACCAAGGCGACGAUGCGUAGCCGACCUGAGAGGGUGAUCGGCCACACUGGGACUGAGACACGGCCCAGACUCCUACGGGAGGCAGCAGUAGGGAAUAUUCCGCAAUGGGCGAAAGCCUGACGGAGCGACGCCGCGUGAGCGAUGAAGGUCUUCGGAUCGUAAAGCUCUGUUGUUAGGGAAGAACAAGUACCGGAGUAACUGCCGGUACCUUGACGGUACCUAACCAGAAAGCCCCGGCUAACUAC
rnacentral:rRNA from 1 species